UGGGGAGCAUGCUCUGGAUUCAGCGGCGGAGGGUGAGUAAUGCCUAGGAAUCUGCCUGGUAGUGGGGGAUAACGUCCGGAAACGGGCGCUAAUACCGCAUACGUCCUGAGGGAGAAAGUGGGGGAUCUUCGGACCUCACGCUAUCAGAUGAGCCUAGGUCGGAUUAGCUAGUUGGUGGGGUAAAGGCCUACCAAGGCGACGAUCCGUAACUGGUCUGAGAGGAUGAUCAGUCACACUGGAACUGAGACACGGUCCAGACUCCUACGGGAGGCAGCAGUGGGGAAUAUUGGACAAUGGGCGAAAGCCUGAUCCAGCCAUGCCGCGUGUGUGAAGAAGGUCUUCGGAUUGUAAAGCACUUUAAGUUGGGAGGAAGGGCAGUAAGUUAAUACCUUGCUGUUUUGACGUUACCAACAGAAUAAGCACCGGCUAACUACGGCCCAGCCGCAAU
rnacentral:rRNA from 1 species